CCUACGGGCGGCUGCAGUGAGGAAUAUUGGGCAAUGGGCGUAAGCCUGAACCAGCCAAGUCGCGUGAGGGAUGAAGGUUCUAUGGAUCGUAAACCUCUUUUAGAAGGGAAUAAAGUGUGGGACGUGUCCUAUUUUGUAUGUACCUUAUGAAUAAGGAUCGGCUAACGCCGUGCCAGCAGCCGCGGUAAUACGGAGGAUCCGAGCGUUAUCCGGAUUUAUUGGGUUUAAAGGGUGCGUAGGCGGCCUUUUAAGUCAGCGGUGAAAGUCUGUGGCUCAACCAUAGAAUUGCAGUUGAAACUGGGGGGCUUGAGUAUGUUUGAGGCCGGCGGAAUGCGUGGUGUAGCGGUGAAAUGCUUAGAUAUCACGCAGAACCCCGAUUGCGAAGGCAGCCUGCCAAGCCAUGACUGACGCUGAUGCACGAAAGCGUGGGGAUCAAACAGGAUUAGAUACCCGAGUAGUC
rnacentral:rRNA from 1 species